rnacentral:rRNA from 1 species
AGAGUUUGAUCCUGGCUCAGGAUGAGCGCUGGCGGCGUGCUUAACACAUGCAAGUCGAACGAACCUUCGGGUUAGUGGCGGACGGGUGAGUAACGCGUGAGAAUCUGCCCUCAGGAGGGGGAUAACGGCUGGAAACGGCCGCUAAUACCCCAUAUGCCGAGAGGUGAAAUGAAUUUCGCCUGAGGAUGAGCUCGCGUCUGAUUAGCUAGUUGGUGGGGUAAGAGCCUACCAAGGCAUCGAUCAGUAGCUGGUCUGAGAGGAUGAUCAGCCACACUGGGACUGAGACACGGCCCAGACUCCUACGGGAGGCAGCAGUGGGGAAUUUUCCGCAAUGGGCGAAAGCCUGACGGAGCAACGCCGCGUGAGGGAUGAAGGCCUCUGGGCUGUAAACCUCUUUUAUCAAGGAAGAAGAUCUGACGGUACUUGAUGAAUAAGCCACGGCUAAUUCCGUGCCAGCAGCCGCGGUAAUACGGGAGUGGCAAGCGUUAUCCGGAAUUAUUGGGCGUAAAGCGUCCGCAGGCGGCCUGAUAAGUCUGUUGUCAAAGCGUGGAGCUUAACUCCAUUUCGGCAAUGGAAACUGUGAGGCUUGAGUGUGGUAGGGGCAGAGGGAAUUCCCGGUGUAGCGGUGAAAUGCGUAGAUAUCGGGAAGAACACCAGUGGCGAAGGCGCUCUGCUGGGCCAUAACUGACGCUCAUGGACGAAAGCCAGGGGAGCGAAAGGGAUUAGAUACCCCUGUAGUCCUGGCCGUAAACGAUGAACACUAGGUGUCGGGGGAAUCGACCCCCUCGGUGUCGUAGCCAACGCGUUAAGUGUUCCGCCUGGGGAGUACGCACGCAAGUGUGAAACUCAAAGGAAUUGACGGGGGCCCGCACAAGCGGUGGAGUAUGUGGUUUAAUUCGAUGCAACGCGAAGAACCUUACCAGGGUUUGACAUCCUGCGAAUCCCUUGGAAACUUGGGAGUGCCUUCGGGAGCGCAGAGACAGGUGGUGCAUGGCUGUCGUCAGCUCGCGUCGUGAGAUGUUGGGUUAAGUCCCGCAACGAGCGCAACCCACGUCUUUAGUUGCCAGCAUUGAGUUGGGCACUCUAGAGAGACCGCCGGUGAUAAACCGGAGGAAGGUGUGGAUGACGUCAAGUCAUCAUGCCCCUUACAUCCUGGGCUACACACGUACUACAAUGCUACGGACAAAGGGCAGCAAACUCGCGAGAGCUAGCAAAUCCCAUAAACCGUGGCUCAGUUCAGAUCGUAGGCUGCAACUCGCCUACGUGAAGGAGGAAUCGCUAGUAAUCGCAGGUCAGCAUACUGCGGUGAAUACGUUCCCGGGCCUUGUACACACCGCCCGUCACACCAUGGAAGUUGGCCACGCCCGAAGCCGUUACUCCAACCCUUGUGGAGGAGGACGUCGAAGGUGGGGCUGAUGACUGGGGUGAAGUCGUAACAAGUAACC